rnacentral:rRNA from 1 species
AAUCAACGCUGGCGGCGUGCCUAACACAUGCAAGUCGAACGCGAAAGUGGAGCAAUCCAUGAGUAGAGUGGCAAACGGGUGAGUAACACGUGGGUGACCUGCCUUCGAGCGGGGGAGUAACGUCCCGAAGGGACGCUAAUACCGCAUAAUAUGCCGCCUUUUAACUAGGUGGACAUCAAAGCUGGGGAGUCGCAAGACCUAGCACUUGAAGAGGGGCCCGCGUCUGAUUAGCAGUUGGUGGGGUAAGUGGCUCACCAAGGCAACGAUCAGUAUCCGGCCUGAGAGGGCGGACGGACACACUGGGACGUGAGACACGGCCCAGACUCCUACGGGAGGCAGCAGUGGGAAUUGUUCGCAAUGGGCGCGAGCCUGACGACGCAACGCCGCGUGGAGGA